GCCCCGUUAGUUCAAACGGAAGAACAGUGGCCUUCUAAGCCAUAGGUUACAGGUUCGAGUCCUGUACGGGGUGCCA
rnacentral:tRNA from 1 species